rnacentral:rRNA from 1 species
AUUGAACGCUGGCGGCAGGCUUAACACAUGCAAGUCGAGCGGGGUGAUGGUGCUUGCACUAUCACUUAGCGGCGGACGGGUGAGUAAUGCUUAGGAAUCUGCCUAUUAGUGGGGGACAACAUCUCGAAAGGGAUGCUAAUACCGCAUACGUCCUACGGGAGAAAGCAGGGGAUCACUUGUGACCUUGCGCUAAUAGAUGAGCCUAAGUCGGAUUAGCUAGUUGGUGGGGUAAAGGCCUACCAAGGCGACGAUCUGUAGCGGGUCUGAGAGGAUGAUCCGCCACACUGGGACUGGGACACGGCCCAGACUCCUACGGGAGGCAGCAGUGGGGAAUAUUGGACAAUGGGGGGAGCCCUGAUCCAGCCAUGCCGCGUGUGUGAAGAAGGCCUUAUGGUUGUAAAGCACUUUAAGCGAGGAGGAGGCUCUUUUGGUUAAUACCCAAGAUGAGUGGACGUUACUCGCAGAAUAAGCACCGGCUAACUCUGUGCCAGCAGCCGCGGUAA